AUUGAACGCUGGCGGCAGGCCUAACACAUGCAAGUCGAACGAGUGGCGGACGGGUGAGUAAUGUCUGGGAAACUGCCCGAUGGAGGGGGAUAACUACUGGAAACGGUCGCUAAUACCGCAUACCAUCGGAUGUGCCCAGAUGGGAUUAGCUAGUAGGUGGGGUAAAGGCUUACCAAGGCGACGAUCCGUAACUGGUCUGAGAGGAUGAUAAGCAACACUGGAACGGAGACACGGUCCAGACUCCUACGGGAGGCAGCAGGGGGGAAUAGUGGACAAUGGGCGAAAGCCUGAUCGAGCCAUGCCGCGGGUGUGAAGAAGGUCUUCGGAUUGUAAAGCACUUUAAGCUGGGAGGCGUUACCAACAGAAUAAGCACCGGCUAACUUCGUGCCAGCAGCCGCGGUAAUAC
rnacentral:rRNA from 1 species